AACGAACGCUGGCGGCAGGCCUUAAACAUGCAAGUCGAGCGAAGCCUUUCUUUCGGGAAAGUGACUUAGCGGCAGACGGGUGAGUAACGCGUAGAUACCUACCCAACAGUGGGGAAUAACCAUGGGAAACUAUGGCUAAUACCGCAUACACCCUUAGGGGGAAAGCUUUAUGCGCUGUUGGAGGGGUUUGCGUUAGAUUAGAUAGUUGGUAGGGUAAUGGCCUACCAAGUCGACGAUCUAUAGCUGGUUUGAGAGGAUGAUCAGCCACACCGGAACUGAGACACGGUUCGGACUCCUACGGGAGGCAGCAGUUGGGAAUAUUGCACAAUGGGGGAAACCCUGAUGCAGCCAUGCCGCGUGAGUGAUGAAGGCCUUAGGGUUGUAAAGCUCUUUCACCUGUGAAGAUGAUGACAGUAGCAGGAGAAGAAGCCCCGGCUAACUUCGUGCCAGCAGCCGCCGCCGUAAC
rnacentral:rRNA from 1 species